AGUGAACGCUGGCGGUAGGCCUAACACAUGCAAGUCGAACGGCAGCACAGUAAGAGCUUGCUCUUACGGGUGGCGAGUGGCGGACGGGUGAGGAAUACAUCGGAAUCUACUUUUUCGUGGGGGAUAACGUAGGGAAACUUACGCUAAUACCGCAUACGACCUACGGGUGAAAGCAGGGGAUAUUCGGACCUUUCGCGAUUGAAUGAGCCGAUGUCGGAUUAGCUAGUUGGCGGGGUAAAGGCCCACCAAGGCGACGAUCCGUAGCUGGUCUGAGAGGAUGAUCAGCCACACUGGAACUGAGACACGGUCCAGACUCCUACGGGAGGCAGCAGUGGGGAAUAUUGGACAAUGGGCGCAAGCCUGAUCCAGCCAUACCGCGUGGGUGAAGAAGGCCUUCGGGUUGUAAAGCCCUUUUGUUGGGAAAGAAAAGCAGCAGGUUAAUACCCCGCUGUUCUGACGGUACCCAAAGAAUAAGCACCGGCUAACUUCGUG
rnacentral:rRNA from 1 species